rnacentral:rRNA from 1 species
GGACGUCGACCGGCGCACGGGUGAGUAACGCGUAUCCAACCUUCCCAUAACUAAGGGAUAACCUGCCGAAAGGCAGACUAAUACCUUAUGUAAUUCUUAGAUGACAUCAGAAGAGAAUGAAAGAUUUAUCGGUUAUGGAUGGGGAUGCGUCUGAUUAGCUUGUUGGCGGGGUAACAGCCCACCAAGGCGACGAUCAGUAGGGGUUCUGAGAGGAAGGUCCCCCACAUUGGAACUGAGACACGGUCCAAACUCCUACGGGAGGCAGCAGUGAGGAAUAUUGGUCAAUGGGCGAGAGCCUGAACCAGCCAAGUAGCGUGCAGGAAGACGGCCCUAUGGGUUGUAAACUGCUUUUGUAUGGGGAUAAAGUCAAUCACGUGUGAUUGUUUGCAGGUACCAUACGAAUAAGGACCGGCUAAUUCCGUGCCAGCAGCCGCGGUAAUACGGAAGGUUCGGGCGUUAUCCGGAUUUAUUGGGUUUAAAGGGAGCGUAGGCCGGAGAUUAAGUGUGUUGUGAAAUGUAGACGCUCAACGUCUGACUUGCAGCGCAUACUGGUUUCCUUGAGUACGCACAACGUUGGCGGAAUUCGUCGUGUAGCGGUGAAAUGCUUAGAUAUGACGAAGAACUCCGAUUGCGAAGGCAGCUGACGGGAGCGCCACUGACGCUUAAGCUCGAAGGUGCGGGUAUCGAACAGGAUUAGAUACCCUGGUAGUCCGCACAGUAAACGAUGGAUGCCCGCUGUUGGUACCUGGUAUCAGCGGCUAAGCGAAAGCAUUAAGCAUCCCACCUGGGGAGUACGCCGGCAACGGUGAAACUCAAAGGAAUUGACGGGGGCCCGCACAAGCGGAGGAACAUGUGGUUUAAUUCGAUGAUACGCGAGGAACCUUACCCGGGCUUGAAUUGCAGAGGAAGGAUUUAGAGAUAAUGACGCCCUUCGGGGUCUCUGUGAAGGUGCUGCAUGGUUGUCGUCAGCUCGUGCCGUGAGGUGUCGGCUUAAGUGCCAUAACGAGCGCAACCCCUCUCUUCAGUUGCCAUCAGGUAAUGCUGGGCACUCUGGAGACACUGCCACCGUAAGGUGUGAGGAAGGUGGGGAUGACGUCAAAUCAGCACGGCCCUUACGUCCGGGGCUACACACGUGUUACAAUGGCCGGUACAGAGGGACGGUGUAAUGCAAAUUGCAUCCAAUCUU